UUCCACACAGGUAGUGAGAGCACGAAACCUGCAGAAAAAGUCACCACAAGUCUGGUCGAAUGGUAUAAAAUAAGUAGCUUUACAACAUUUUGAUCAGAAAAGCUUCAAGGGAAGUCCUCUACCGCAGCAAAAUAUUCAGAAUGCAGUUCAUUGUUGCUUUGUGCCUUUUGGUUGUUUGUGUUUCUGCACAGCAAGACUACAGACAAGAAUACAGAAGAAAGAGAUCUGGAUAUGGUA